rnacentral:lncRNA from 1 species
CACAGAAUUUGCAGUCGGUGAAUCUGAUUUCACAGAUCAAAGCACCUCAUGACAGCUUUAUAGGAAAUCUUGUGCGAGGGAGAUUAUUCAUCUUGUGCUCCGGAGGCUUUCCACAAUAAGCCUGUGCCCAGAAAGGCCUUCCUCGUCGACCUCAACAGACUGAAACUGAUGAAGCUUGGAAUCUGAUGUUCCCUAGUUUAAAUGCUCAGUGAAGUAUUCAGCAAUCUUCGAAGUCGAGGCGAUGUGAACAAGAAGGGAUCCAUGGUGGAACCAAAUGCUCAGUCUGCGCUGGAUUUCCCCUCAUUGAAGAUAUCUGCGAGUCUUUCUGUAGAUCAACUGCGAUUGUAACCAGAGGAAAAUGCUCGAGUGUAACGUUUUCUCAGAAGACGGGGAGGUUUUUUGUGAUGUAUCUCUUAAGCGAGGUACGACCAAGAGCACGCAGAAAGAUGAGCAUAGUAUUAUAGCAUCUCGAUGGCAUCGGCGUCAGAUUCGAUGCAUGAAGAGUUCAGCCGUGAGCCAGUUCCAGUGUAAGACCCUCAUUCCAGCUGCCGAAACUGAUGAGUAAAAGUUCUUUAUCUGGCACUGCGGAUACUUCUAUCGGGAGACUUUAUCGUUCUUCAAGCUGACUAUUCAAAUCAAGCUGGAAUGGCCAAAACUGAUCAAUGAAGCGUGUUGCUUCACACUUGCCGACUCAGCAACAAGCGUCCCACACCAAAGAUACGUGGUGUUUGAAUGGGUAGAGCAAGUGAGCAACGCCACCCAAC